CCCUGUAUCGAAAGGUGAUCGCAGCGUCCUUGUGGCUGCGGUCAUUAUUAAUACAGGCAGAUAAACCUGAGAGCUUUCCCGUGUUUGAAGGAACGUUGGUUCCUGUCAGACCCUGAUGUUCUCGGACA